GACGAACGCUGGCGGCGUGCCUAAUACAUGCAAGUUGAGCGCUGAAGGUUGGUACUUGUACCGACUGGAUGAGCAGCGAACGGGUGAGUAACGCGUGGGGAAUCUGCCUUUGAGCGGGGGACAACAUUUGGAAACGAAUGCUAAUACCGCAUAAAAACUUUAAACACAAGUUUUAAGUUUGAAAGAUGCAAUUGCAUCACUCAAAGAUGAUCCCGCGUUGUAUUAGCUAGUUGGUGAGGUAAAGGCUCACCAAGGCGAUGAUACAUAGCCGACCUGAGAGGGUGAUCGGACACAGUGGGACUGAGACACGGCCCAAACUGCUACGGGAGGCAGCAGGAGGGAAGCUUAGGCAAUGGACGAAAGUCUGACAGAGCAACGCCGAGUGAGUGAAGAAGGUUGUCGGAUCGUAAAACUAUGUUGGUAGAGAAGAACGUUGGUGAGAGGGGAAAGCUCAUCAAGUGACGGUAACUACCCAGAAAGGGACGGCUAACUACGUG
rnacentral:rRNA from 1 species